UAACUAUACAAAGGUAUUGUAAUAAGAUUUUAAUUGAAUGCUAAAAGAAUGGAAGUUUAGAAAAAAACUUUUUUAAAAUUAAAAAUUAAAAUUUUUUUAAUUUGUGAAGAAACAAUUAUAAAUAUUAAGGACAAGAAGACCCUAAGAAUUUAUGAUUUAAUGAAUUCAUUUAUUUAUUUAUUAAAUCUUGAUUGGGGUGAUCAAAAAAUAUUAUUAACUUUUUUUAAUUUAAAUUGAUCUAUUAUUAAUAAAUAAAUGAAUAAAAUACUCUAGGGAUAACAGCGUAAUAAUUUUUGAUAGAUCUUAUAGACAAAAUAGUUUGCGACCUCGAUGUUGGAUUAGGAUUCUUUUUUAAUGAAGAUAUUAAAAAAAGAAGUUUGUUCAACUUUUAAAUUCCUACUUGAUCUGA
rnacentral:rRNA from 1 species